GCCAGCAGCCAUAUCACCCUGCAACUCACAAAUGGUAACCCACUGAAGCUAAGCAGGUGUGAGCCUGAUCAGUACCUGGAUGGGAGAUCUCCUGGGAAAAACUAAGGUUGCUGCUGGAA
ensembl:rRNA 5S_rRNA 5S ribosomal RNA